GAAGCAGAAUAUGAACUCUUAUGUCCCCGCUUGAUUUCCCGAUGCAGGACAUCAGAGGGACAAGACAAAUACUGAGGAACUGAUGCUGCUGGUACUGGUGGAGCUGUUGCAGCUGUUGGAGUUGGCUCUGCUGCUGCAGGGCCAGAUGAGCGUGAUGCUGCUGAAGGUUGGUGUGUCCCGCGCCCCCCAUCGGCCCCGCAGAUGGUACGCCCCAGCUCUGCCACUCGAUCAUGUGGGCGACGCGACCCUGGGCCAUAGCGGUGGGCUUGGUCACUUUGUCCUUCAUGGAGCGAGACACACCUAAA